AUGGAAAAACUAUUUUAAAACAAGUCUUCAGAGCUGCAAAUGACUGUCAGUCCUGUGACAGCAACACAGAAGCUGCUCUGGCAAAACCCCUGUGUGCUCAUUCACGUGUCAGAGUUCCCAGCCUCUGGGCAGAACUGAAACACCCAGUGCUGUUGGUGUUGGGGCACUGAAAACAGCCAGCAUUUUUAAGGACACCUUGUUGCAAGCCACAUGUGAAUGUGGUUGUGCAGUAUUCUCAAAAUAUAUCCUGAGUUCCUUAUGCAGUCAUGGGGAAAAGAUACACUACUGGAGUGGCUCUGCAGUGGAAAUGAGCUCAGCCUGUCAUGCUGGCUAGUGAGGGUGAUGCCAUCCCACAGGGCCCAGCAGCAUCAGCCAAGAAGACCUGUCUGACUCAGAAGCCUUCCCAAACAGGCAGAUUUUGUGUCCAUGUUUCUUUGUCAAGUUUUUGUCCUUUGAUCACAGAAUAAAAACUUCCUAAUGAUUCCAGGCUUUAGUAAAAUAUAAAUGCGAAGUUCAAGGGUGUGUUUGAGCUGGUGGCUGCAGAAAAGCUCAGCCUCUUUGGGUAGCACAGGAGGUAAUCUCACUAUGCUUCUGCCCCUGGCCACCAGAAUGUGACCUAAGUGCAUCAAGAGUCUCACACCUUAUGUAGUUGGGAAAGUGAACAAAACCACACAUCAAGAUGGCACAAAAUCUGGAUAUUUUUGAGAUUACUGGGAGGCUGUGAUGACAGCUCUUUAGAAUACAUAUUUCUCCCCAGCUCAAAUGCAUCACUGUUGAGAUGAGAAAAGCAGCAGUGGGGUUUAGGGCUCUGCUCCCUCCUGGCUGUUUCCCCACACCAUUGAGCAGUGUUGGGGCUGCUUGACAUGCCAGCAGGGUGGGCUGUGCUCCAGCAAGGCAUGCUGUCUUCGCAGAUUCCUUCCCAAGAUCUGCUCUCAGGGUGACUGCAGUUUGCCACCAUUCCUAAGCAAACCCUGCCUAAUGGACAAAGGGACACAGCCCAGGUCCUCCCAGCUCUGCAUUUGUUUGCUUAAGUCCUGGCACUGGGCCUCAGUGUCCUGUUUCUUUCUGACAGAUACACACAGAUACACUUGCACAGACACAGCCCAGGUCCUCCCAGCUCUGCAUUCGUUUGCUUAAGUUCUGGCACUGGGCCUCAGUGUCCUGUUUUUUUCUGACAGAUACACACAGAUACACUUGCACACACUGAUCUUUACUGCAUGGUUUGGGGACAUCAAAGUAUUAACCACUGUUAGCAUAAUUAAAGCAAAUUACUCUAAAGGAGACGGUGGCUAAGGCACUCUCAGCCACAGGGGGGGUUCUAUGAGAAAAUGCUUUGCUAGCUUAUACCUUUGUUUUCUGCUCUCUCAGGGCAAAUUUAAGAUAACGCUCGUGUUUGCUUUGCAGCGAGCAUGCUGACUUUGCAUUGUUCUUCCACCCAGACUCCCUAUUGCUUGAUUUUAAACCAAGAGAUAAAACUCUGGGCAAAGACUCCAUUGCACAGCUCAUUUU
rnacentral:lncRNA from 1 species